rnacentral:rRNA from 1 species
AACAUACAAAAAUAUCCGCCAGAGAACUACGAGCAAAACGCUUAAAACUCUAAGGACUUGGCGGUACCUUAAACCCCCCUAGAGGAGCCUGUUCUAUAAUCGAUAAUCCACGAUCUACCUCACCAUCUCUUGCCAAUACCGCCUAUAUACCGCCGUCACCAGCCUACCCUAUGAAGGAUAUAAAAGUAGGCAAAAUCGCACAACAGCUAACAAGUCAGGUCAAGGUGUAGCUUACUGAGAUGGAAGAAAUGGGCUACAUUUUCUAAACUAGAAAUCAUUUCACGGAAAGAACUAUGAAACAAGUUCUAUAAGCAGGAUUUAGCAGUAAAUAGGGAUCAGAAUGCCCAAUUUAAGCCGGUCCUAAGGUACGCACACACCGCCCGUCACCCUCUGC